UAAGUUUGAUCAUGGCUCAGACUGAAGCGCUAACGGUAGGCCUAACACAUGCAAGUCGAACGGCAGCACAGAGGAGCUUGCUCCUUGGGUGGCGAGUGGCGGACGGGUGAGGAAUACAUCGGAAUCUACUCUGUCGUGGGGGAUAACGUAGUGGAAACUUACGCUAAUACCGCAUACGACCUACGGGUGAAAGCAGGGGAUCUUCGGACCUUGCGCGAUUGAAUGAGCCGAUGUCGGAUUAGCUAGUUGGCGGGGUAAAGGCCCACCAAGGCGACGAUCCGUAGCUGGUCUGAGAGGAUGAUCAGCCACACUGGAACUGAGACACGGUCCAGACUCCUACGGGAGGCAGCAGUGGGGAAUAUUUGGACAAUGGGCGCAAGCCUGAUCCAGCCAUACCGCGUGGGUGAAGUAGGCCUUCGGGUUGUAAAGCCCUUUUGUGGGAAAGAAAUNCAGCCGGCUAAUACCUGGGUUUGGGAUGACGGUACCCCAAAGAAUUAGCACCGGGUAUCAUUUCGUGCAGCAGCGGCGGUAAUACGAAGGGUGCAAGCGUUACUCGGAAUUAACUGGGCGUAAAGCGUGCGGUAGGUGGUUAUUUAAGUCCGUUUGUGAAAGCCCCCCGGGGCUUCAAACCUUGUGGAAACUUGGCAUGGUGGGAAUUACUUGGGAUUGAACUUNCGGAACUGUUGGUAAGAAGGGGGUAGCGGGAAAUUCCCCUCGUGUUA
rnacentral:rRNA from 1 species